rfam:TPA: Bos taurus chromosome 14, whole genome shotgun sequence.
UCCCUGGUGGCUCAGAUGGUAAAGCGUCUGCCUGCAAUGCGGGAGACCCGGGUUCGAUUCCUGGGUCGGGAA